UACGUAGGUGGCGAGCGUUGUCCGGAUUUACUGGGCGUAAAGGGAGCGUAGGCGGACUUUUAAGUGAGAUGUGAAAUACCCGGGCUCAACUUGGGUGCUGCAUUUCAAACUGGAAGUCUAGAGUGUAGGAGAGGAGAAUGGAAUUCCUAGUGUAGCGGUGAAAUGCGUAGAGAUUAGGAAGAACACCAGUGGCGAAGGCGAUUCUCUGGACUGUAACUGACGCUGAGGCUCGAAAGCGUGGGGAGCAAACAGGAUUAGAUACCCCCGUAGUCCCU
rnacentral:rRNA from 1 species